rnacentral:rRNA from 1 species
ACGGAAGGUCCAGGCGUUAUCCGGAUUUAUUGGGUUUAAAGGGAGCGUAGGCCGCUUGGUAAGCGGGCAGUGAAAUGCAGAGGCUCAACCUCUGACUUGUUGUUCGAACUGCCGGGCUUGAGUACGCACGAGGUAGGCGGAAUUUGUGGUGGAGCGGUGAAAUGCGUAGAUAUCGCAAAGAACUCCAAUUGCGUAGGUAGUGUAACGGAGCGCAUCUGCGGCUGAAGCUGGAAAGUGCGGUUAAAGAAUUG